GUGCUCACUUCAGCAGCACAUAUACUGAAAAUAGUAAUGAUACAGAGAAGAUUCGCAUGGCUCCCGCACAAGGAUGCCAUGCAAAUAAAAAUAAAAAAAAAAAUAAAA
rnacentral:snRNA from 1 species